GGGAGCUUGCUCCCUGAUGUUAGCGGCGGACGGGUGAGUAACACGUGGGUAACCUGCCUGUAAGACUGGGAUAACUCCGGGAAACCGGGGCUAAUACCGGAUGGUUGUUUGAACCGCAUGGUUCAAACAUAAAAGGUGGCUUCGGCUACCACUUACAGAUGGACCCGCGGCGCAUUAGCUAGUUGGUGAGGUAACGGCUCACCAAGGCAACGAUGCGUAGCCGACCUGAGAGGGUGAUCGGGCCACACUGGGACUGAGACACGGCCCAGACUCCUACGGGAGGCAGCAGUAGGGAAUCUUCCGCAAUGGACGAAAGUCUGACGGAGCAACGCCGCGUGAGUGAUGAAGGUUUUCGGAUCGUAAAGCUCUGUUGUUAGGGAAGAACAAGUACCGUUCGAAUAGGGCGGUACCUUGACGGUACCUAACCAGAAAGACCACGGCUAACUACGUGCCAGCAGCCGCGGUAAUACGUAGGUGGCAAGCGUUGUCCGGAAUUAUUGGGCGUAAAGGGCUCGCAGGCGGUUUCUUAAGUCUGAUGUGAAAGCCCCCGGCUCAACCGGGGAGGGUCAUUGGAAACUGGGGAACUUGAGUGCAGAAGAGGAGAGUGGAAUUCCACGUGUAGCGGUGAAAUGCGUAGAGAUGUGGAGGAACACCAGUGGCGAAGGCGACUCUCUGGUCUGUAACUGACGCUGAGGAGCGAAAGCGUGGGGAGCGAACAGGAUUAGAUACCCUGGUAGUCCACGCCGUAAACG
rnacentral:rRNA from 1 species